rnacentral:tRNA from 1 species
UCCCUGAUGGUCUAGUGGUUAGGAUUUGGCGCUCUCACCGCUGCAGCCUGGGUUUGAUUCUCAGUCAGGGGA